rnacentral:rRNA from 1 species
AAAUUGAAGAGUUUGAUCAUGGCUCAGAUUGAACGCUGGCGGCAGGCCUAACACAUGCAAGUCGAGCGGCAGCGGGAAAGUAGCUUGCUACUUUUGCCGGCGAGCGGCGGACGGGUGAGUAAUGCCUGGGGAUCUGCCCAGUCGAGGGGGAUAACAGUUGGAAACGACUGCUAAUACCGCAUACGCCCUACGGGGGAAAGGAGGGGACCUUCGGGCCUUUCGCGAUUGGAUGAACCCAGGUGGGAUUAGCUAGUUGGUGGGGUAAUGGCUCACCAAGGCGACGAUCCCUAGCUGGUCUGAGAGGAUGAUCAGCCACACUGGAACUGAGACACGGUCCAGACUCCUACGGGAGGCAGCAGUGGGGAAUAUUGCACAAUGGGGGAAACCCUGAUGCAGCCAUGCCGCGUGUGUGAAGAAGGCCUUCGGGUUGUAAAGCACUUUCAGCGAGGAGGAAAGGUUGGCGCCUAAUACGUGUCA